rnacentral:rRNA from 1 species
UACGAAGGGGGCUAGCGUUGCUCGGAAUUACUGGGCGUAAAGCGCACGUAGGCGGCUUCUUAAGUCGGAGGUGAAAUCCUGGAGCUCAACUCCAGAACUGCCUUUGAUACUGAUGAGCUUGAGUUCGGGAGAGGUGAGUGGAACUGCGAGUGUAGAGGUGAAAUUUCGUAGAUAUUCGCAAGAACACCAGUGGCGAAGGCGGCUCACUGGCCCGAUACUGACGCUGAGGUGCGAAAAGCGUGGGGGAGCAAACAGG